rnacentral:tRNA from 2 species
GCGGGAUUAGCUCAGCUGGUUAGAGCACUUGUCUCUGGCAAGGUGUCAUUGGUUCGAAUCCGAUAUCCCGCU